rnacentral:rRNA from 1 species
UGGAGGGCAAGUCUGGUGCCAGCAGCCGCGGUAAUUCCAGCUCCAAUAGCGUAUAUUAAAGUUGUUGCAGUUAAAAAGCUCGUAGUUGAAUUUCAGGCCUGGCUGGACGGUCCGCCCUUCGGGUGAGUACUGUCUGUGGUCGGGUCCUACCUUCUGGCGAAGCGUCAUGGCCUUAACCGGCCGUGGCGGGGAACCAGGACUUUUACUGUGAAAAAAUUAGAGUGUUCAAAGCAGGCAAUCGCUUGGAUACAUUAGCAUGGAAUAAUGGAAUAGGACAAUGGUUCUAUUUGUUGGUUUCUAGGACCGUUGUAAUGAUUAAUAGGGAUAGUUGGGGGCAUUAGUAUUCAAUUGUCAGAGGUGAAAUUCUUGGAUUUAUUGAAGACUAACUACUGCGAAAGCAUUUGCCAAGGAUGUUUUCAUUAAUCAAGAACGAAAGUUAGGGGAUCGAAGACGAUCAGAUACCGUCGUAGUCUUAACCAUAAACUAUGCCGACUAGGAAUCGGGCGAUGUUGGCAAAAUGACGCGCUCGGCACCUCACGGGAAAC